rnacentral:tRNA from 1 species
GGCCUCGUAGCUCAGCUGGUAGAGCACUCGCGGCAUUAAAGCUUGGGUGGUGGCCAUGCAUGGGUUCGAAUUCAGCCGAGGCCU